UUAUCUAUAGUGUGCAGGCCUCAA
rnacentral:siRNA from 1 species